UGGGGAAUAUUGCACAAUGGGCGAAAGCCUGAUGCAGCAACGCCGCGUGAGGGAAGACGGUUUUCGGAUUGUAAACCUCUGUCCUUGGUGAAGAAAGAGAUGACGGUAGCCAAGGAGGAAGCCCCGGCUAACUACGUGCCAGCAGCCGCGGUAAUACGCAGGGGGCGAGCGUGGUCCGGAAUGACUGGGCGUAAAGGGCGCGUAGACGGCUUUUUAAGUCUGGAGUGAAAGUCCUGCUUUCAAGGUGGGAAUUGCUUUGGAGACUGGAAGGCUUGAGUGCGGAAGAGGUAAGUGGAAUUCCCAGUGUAGCGGUGAAAUGCGUAGAGAUUGGGAAGAACACCAGUGGCGAAGGCGACUUACUGGGCCGUAACUGACGUUGAUGCGCGAAAGCGUGGGGAGCGAACAGG
rnacentral:rRNA from 2 species